GGGUACCAUUUCGGAUAAGCAGAGUGAGGCCAGGGAGGAGAAAGAGCUCAGCAAGAUCAGUGAGUGAGUCAACAGAACCAGGUCUGGACAUCAUGGCUCCUCACUCAUUCCUUCACACAGAGAGCAUUGAUUAAACACCUACUGUGGGGCAGCCCCUGAGCAUGGUUAAGAGCCACGGCGCUCUAGGAGUUCAUUGGCUGGUGGAGAAGAUGGAAACAGACACAAAAUGGCGGACGGUGAGGCUGGGGGUCUGGUCAGGAAACCACUGCAGAACUGAAGAGAAGAUGAUACAGCUGGAAUCGGGGCAGUGACGGGGCAAGGAGGACAGGAGGGCAGCUGUGAGAGCUGUUUAGGAGGUGUCUACUUCCUGCCUGCCAGACAGGAAACUGCUGAGGUGAGGAGUCUGGGGGCACCCCAUCCCUACCCCGGAGGAGUUCCGUCAGGUGGAAAAGAUCAUCAAAGACCAGAGGGCGGAGAGCCCGCCACACGUUGGCAGGGACCCCAAGACCCAGCUGAUGGUGGAAAGAGGAGGACACAUCUGUCGCUGACCUCUGACAAAAGGCUUAGGGACCCCCAAGAACACAAUG
rnacentral:lncRNA from 1 species